rnacentral:rRNA from 1 species
UAGGGUUUGAUCAUGGCUCAGAACGAACGCUGGCGGUAUGCUUAACACAUGCAAGUCGAACGGAUAUAGCGAUAUAUUAGUGGCAAACGGGUGAGGAAUGUAGAGGAAUCUCCCCAGCAGUAAGGAAUAACUUUGGGAAACCAAAGCUAAUGCCAUAUAUCACCGAUUUAUCGGGAAAGAUUUAUCGCUGUUGGAUGAGCCUCUAUCGGAUUAGCUAGUUGGUGGGGUAAUGGCCUACCAAGGCAAUGAUCCGUAGCUGGUCUUAGAGGAUGAUCAGCCACACUGGAACUGAGACACGGUCCAGACUCCUACGGGAGGCAGCAGUGGGGAAUAUUGGACAAUGGGCGCAAGCCUGAUCCAGCAAUACCGCGUGAGUGAUGACGGUCUUCGGAUUGUAAAGCUCUUUUAGUGAGGAAGAUAAUGACGGUACUCACAGAAAAAGCACCGGCAAACUUCGUGCCAGCCGCCGCGGUAAUUC